rnacentral:rRNA from 1 species
GUCCACGCCCUAAACGAUGAUCACUAGCUGUCUCGAGUAUCGACCCUCGGGGUGGCGUAGCUAACGCGUUAAGUGAUCCGCCUGGGAAGUACGGCCGCAAGGCUAAAACUCAAAGGAAUAGACGGGGACUCGCACAAGCGGUGGAGCAUGUGGUUUAAUUCGACGGUAAACGAGAAACCUUACCAAGACUUGAAAUGUCUACGAAGAUAGUCAGAAAUGAUUAUCGUCUUUACUGACGUAGGCACAGGUGCUGCAUGGUUGCCGU